GUAGCAAGCGCACGCGAAAAGCCGCUGCAGCGGCCAGCAGCGCUGACGAGGACUUCGACGAGGAGGACGUCAUCAAGGAGGUGCACCGCGACGAGGAGUACGUGUAUCCAUCAUUGGAGAUGAGCUCGGACGAAGACGAGGAGUGGACGACGACGCGGCGGAGACGCAACUCCAGGAACAGGGGAGACAGCAAAUCCAAAAACGAAAAGGACGAGUGCUGGUCGCCGCGCGCGCGCGUGGGCCGCGUGACGCCGCGCAGCCGCG